rnacentral:rRNA from 1 species
UACGUAGGGUGCAAGCGUUGUCCGGAAUUAUUGGGCGUAAAGAGCUCGUAGGCGGUCUGUCGCGUCUGCUGUGAAAAUCCAGGGCUCAACCCUGGACCUGCAGUGGGUACGGGCAGACUAGAGUGCGGUAGGGGAGAUCGGAAUUCCUGGUGUAGCGGUGAAAUGCGUAGAUAUCUGGAGGAACACCGGUGGCGAAGGCGGCGACCUGGGCCAAUACUGACGCUGAGGUGCGAAAGACGUGGGGAGCAAACAGG